rnacentral:sRNA from 1 species
GCCGGUGCUUUAUAUAGAUCGGGACGUCCCAUUUGCGGGGUGGACCGGGCGGCUGCGGCCAGCAAGAGACCGCUGCCGUUUACAUA